rnacentral:rRNA from 1 species
CAGGAACGCUUGCUGUUUCGCUGACCAGUGGCGGACGGGUGAGUAAUGUCUGGGAAACUGCCUGAUGGAGGGGGAUAACUACUGGAAACGGUAGCUAAUACCGCAUAACGUCACAAGACCAAAGAGGGGGACCUUUUGGCCUCUUGCCAUCGGAUGUGCCCAGAUGGGAUUAGCUAGUAGGUGGGGUAACGGCUCACCUAGGCGACGAUCCCUAGCUGGUCUGAGAGGAUGACCAGCCACACUGGAACUGAGACACGGUCCAGACUCCUACGGGAGGCAGCAGUGGGGAAUAUUGCACAAUGGGCGCAAGCCUGAUGCAGCCAUGCCGCGUGUAUGAAGAAGGCCUUCGGGUUGUAAAGUACUUUCAGCGGGGAGGAAGGGAGUAAAGUUAAUACCUUUGCUCAUUGACGUUACCCGCAGAAGAAGCACCGGUCUAACUCCGUGCCAGCAGCCGCGGUAAUACGGAGGGUGCAAGCGUUAAUCGGAAUUACUGGGCGUAAAGCGCACGCAGGCGGUUUGUUAAGUCAGAUGUGAAAUCCCCGGGCUCAACCUGGGAACUGCAUCUGAUACUGGCAAGCUUGAGUCUCGUAGAGGGGGGUAGAACUCCAUGUGU